rnacentral:rRNA from 1 species
UACGGAGGGUGCAAACGUUGCUCGGAAUCAUUGGGCGUAAAGCGCACGUAGGCGGUCGGCUAUGUCGGAUGUGAAAGCCUCGGGCUUAACCCGAGAAGGGCAUCCGAAACUGGCCGGCUUGAGUACGGAAGAGGGUCUCGGAAUUCCCGGUGUAGAGGUGAAAUUCGUAGAUAUCGGAGGAAGACCACGGUGGCGAAGGCGGGAGUCCUGGGCCGAUACUGACGCUGAGGUGCGAAAGCGUGGGGAUCAAACAGGAUU